AGAGUUUGAUCAUGGCUCAGAGCGAACGCUGGCGGCAGGCUUAACACAUGCAAGUCGAACGGGCGUAGCAAUACGUCAGUGGCAGACGGGUGAGUAACGCGUGGGAACGUGCCUUUUGGUUCGGAACAACACAGGGAAACUUGUGCUAAUACCGGAUAAGCCCUUACGGGGAAAGAUUUAUCGCCAAAAGAUCGGCCCGCGUCUGAUUAGCUAGUUGGUGAGGUAAUGGCUCACCAAGGCGACGAUCAGUAGCUGGUCUGAGAGGAUGAUCAGCCACACUGGGACUGAGACACGGCCCAGACUCCUACGGGAGGCAGCAGUGGGGAAUAUUGGACAAUGGGCGCAAGCCUGAUCCAGCCAUGCCGCGUGAGUGAUGAAGGCCUUAGGGUUGUAAAGCUCUUUUGUGCGGGAAGAUAAUGACGGUACCGCAAGAAUAAGCCCCGGCUAACUUCGUGCCAGCAGCCGCGGUAAUACGAAGGGGGCUAGCGUUGCUCGGAAUCACUGGGCGUAAAGGGUGCGUAGGCGGGAUCUUAAGUCAGAGGUGAAAGCCUGGAGCUCAACUCCAGAACUGCCUUUGAUACUGAGAUUCUUGAGUUCGGAAGAGGUAAGUGGAACUGCGAGUGUAGAGGUGAAAUUCGUAGAUAUUCGCAAGAACACCAGUGGCGAAGGCGGCUUACUGGUCCGAUACUGACGCUGAGGCACGAAAGCGUGGGGAGCAAACAGGAUUAGAUACCCUAGUAGUCC
rnacentral:rRNA from 1 species